rnacentral:rRNA from 1 species
AGUGAACGCUGGCGGUAGGCCUAACACAUGCAAGUCGAACGGCAGCACAGUAAGAGCUUGCUCUUACGGGUGGCGAGUGGCGGACGGGUGAGGAAUACAUCGGAAUCUACUUUUUCGUGGGGGAUAACGUAGGGAAACUUACGCUAAUACCGCAUACGACCUACGGGUGAAAGCAGGGGAUCUUCGGACCUUGCGCGAGUGAAUGAGCCGAUGUCGGAUUAGCUAGUUGGCGGGGUAAAGGCCCACCAAGGCGACGAUCCGUAGCUGGUCUGAGAGGAUGAUCAGCCGCACUGGAACUGAGACACGGUCCAGACUCCUACGGGAGGCAGCAGUGGGGAAUAUUGGACAAUGGGCGCAAGCCUGAUCCAGCCAUACCGCGUGGGUGAAGAAGGCCUUCGGGUUGUAAAGCCCUUUUGUUGGGAAAGAAAAGCAGCAGGUUAAUACCCCGCUGUUCUGACGGUACCCAAAGAAUAAGCACCGGCUAACUUCGUG